GUUAAUUUUCCGCAAUGGGCGAAAGCCUGACGGAGCAAUACCGCGUGAGGGACGAAGGCUUUUGGGUCGUAAACCUCUUUUCCCUGAGAAGAAGAUCUGACGGUAUCAGGGGAAUAAGCAUCGGCUAACUUCGUGCCAGCAGCCGCGGUAAUACGAGGGAUGCAAGCGUUAUCCGGAAUUAUUGGGCGUAAAGCGUCCGCAGGUGGCUCUGUAAGUCUGUCGUUAAAGAAUGGGGCUCAACCCCAUACAGGCGAUGGAAACUACAAGGCUAGAGUUUGGUAGGGGUCACGGGAAUUCCUAGUGUAGCGGUGAAAUGCGUAGAUAUUAGGAAGAACACCAGCGGCGAAAGCGCGUGACUGGGCCAGUACUGACACUCAUGGACGAAAGCUAGGGGAGCGAAAGGGAUUAGAUACCCCUGUAGUCCUAGCCGUAAACGAUGAUAACUAGGUGUUGCCCGUAUCGACCCGGGCAGUGCCGUAGCCAACGCGUUAAGUUAUCCG
rnacentral:rRNA from 1 species